ACUCCCUGACCCCUUGCGCUUCCCGAGUGAGGCAAUGCCUCGCCCCUGCUUCGGCUGGCGCACGGUGCGCUCACCCACUGACCUGCGCCCACUGUCUGGCACUCCCUAGUGAGAUGAACACGGUACCUCAGAUGGAAAUGCAGAAAUCACCCGUCUUCUGCGUCGCUCGCGCUGGGAGCUGUAGACUGGAGCUGUUCCUAUUCGGCCAUCUUGGCUCCUCCCCGUGUUUCUUAAGCCUCUGGUUGUCAAACAGGGACAUCCAUACCAGUGAUGAACAUCAAUGUGAAAGGAGUCAUCAGUCUUAACUGGUUGAAUUGUUUUGGAGAACUUGGAACUCAACAUUCCAUAAAGUGAAUAUGCAGGAAAGACAUUCCAGCAGAAGGAAAUGAUAUGAGCAAAGACACAGAGGUGGGACCUCCUAAAGUGUGCUGUAGAAUGCUGUUGAUCCUAAAUGAGGAUGGCCAUAUUCAUG